rnacentral:lncRNA from 1 species
AUGGUCCCCAAAAGGGACACACACCCUGCUCACAAAAUGAGCUGGAGGCAGGGCUGCUGGCGGGUGCCAACAGGAGCUGGCGUUCCUGGCAGGUUUCUCACAACCCCUCCGUCCCCUUCUUCUUCGUGUACUUUUCUUAUCAGCGGUAUGGUGAAGGAUCUCGACACCGGAGUAACUGGCAUCACGGCUGGCUUUCAAGUCCGUGGUGAUCCGCUCCCAUCCUUCAAAGCUGCAUCGAUGGAGCUGACUUUGGAGAUGCCCCAGUGCUGUGGCAGGGACGAAGGUCUAGCACUUGACAGCUCCCACGUGAGGAUGUGAGCACUCUCCAGUUCUUCUCAUGCAGGCAGUCGGAAAAGCUUUAUUGAAGUCAGCGCCUUGAAAAUCUGAGGGAGGAGAAACUCUUGAAGUAGAAGGGCUUUUGGGGCAACGUGCAGGAGCGGAAGAAAAAUGUGCGUUAAGAUCCUGCUAAUGGCUGGACUGUCUCGCCUGUGAAAGAGAUUCCAGCACCAGCAGUGUUUUUCUUCCUCAACAAUCACAUUCACCAUGCCCAGCUUUGAAGUUUAAAUAAACUUAAAAGCGUAUCUGCCGAAAUAUGUUAC